rnacentral:rRNA from 1 species
ACUCCUACGGGAGGCAGCAGUGGGGAAUUUUCCGCAAUGGGCGAAAGCCUGACGGAGCAAUACCGCGUGAGGGAUGACGGCCUGUGGGUUGUAAACCCCUUUUCUCAAGGAAGAAGUUCUGACGGUACUUGAGGAAUAAGCAUCGGCUAACUCUGUGCCAGCAGCCGCGGUAAUAC